CAAUCUGUCAGACUCUAUAGAGCUACGAGGGAGCAACAACGGGGAAAAGUGACAUGUUUCAAAAUUGACCAAUAGGGGGAGACAGCAGUCCAGAAACUUAUCAGUAAGCACUGCUUCGUUAUCAAGCCACUACAUAGAGGAAACCCUGUGACGGCCAGCACUGAGACAUCAGAGGUGUGGUUGGGCAUGUUCUCGCCUCCACAUCGUGACUACGGAAGGUUUGAGUAGGCCCACGGACUGUAUUCCAGUUAAAUAUGGCCAGGGGAGGAGGGGUGGACGUGAAUCUCACAGCUUACACGGAGCACCCGGCUGUGGGCGAAGGUCUUGGGAAACUUCUCAGCUUGAGUUCGAGCCUUGGCGUCAAAAUUUUGAGGUUUCCAUUUUCACCGUCCUCUUUAUCAUCAUCGGAGCAUAAACUGAUUGACGACUAACCUGCAAUUAGUUUGACAAGACAACCCCCAUCUGAGUGGCCUGUGAUCAUCUGAAUGAGUCAAAGAUGUAUGCUCGCCAGAUCCUGCUCUACAACACAAACAAUGAUGCUAUAUUAUGUUCUCUUAGCUUCUAGGUUAGGUUAAUAUAUAUAUAUAUAUAUAUAUAUAUAUAUGGAGUAGAAAUAUAUGAUGCAUAGACUCUUUUCUCUUCCAUGCUGUUCAAAAUGAGAAGACAAGAGGACAUGUAAUUGAAGUUCUAUACAUGUACGCUGAUCCUUUUGGGUCAGGAGACAAUAAUAAGGUAUAACAAGGGUAAAGGAAAUGUGUCUAAAUGUGUCCAUAUUUACUGUAACUGUAAAAGCAAUAAUUAAGCUAUUUCAACUUCUAGGCCUGUGACAAGAAAAAAAAAAAAAACAACUGGAUGAGGACCCAGUUUUAUUUUUCUAUUCAUACUAAUUGAGAACACCUGUGUUGGAAAACUACAGGCAAUAUGGUGAUGUUUGUUUGAAGCAACAUAAACUGUUUUAGAUGGUAAUUAAGAUGUUUUAGGAAAGUCAUGAAGAAACUAAAACUGAGUUGGUAUAUUGCAAAAAUAAAAAAAUAAAAAACAGUAGAAGCCAGUUGCACUCUGUUAAAAAAAAACAAUGUUGUUGAGACAAAAAUAAUAAAUUUCCCAUCCCAGGAGUUGUCUAGACUGCUUACUAUAGUUUUAAAUGUCCAAUCAGCCCAAGCAGAAAAACAUUAUUAUUAUUUAAGUUGUUUAAUUAUUGAAAGCCACACCACAUUAUUGGAUGUCUUUUUUUUCUGAUAUUGUGCAACCCUUUAUUAGACACUAUCCAAGUAUCAGGUAGGUGUUUUGGAGUGCUGUCCCACAA